rnacentral:rRNA from 1 species
AAUCCAUAGGUUAAUGAGGCGAACCGGGGGAACUGAAACAUCUAAGUACCCCGAGGAAAAGAAAUCAACCGAGAUUCCCCCAGUAGCGGCGAGCGAACGGGGAGGAGCCCAGAGCCUGAAUCAGCAUGUGUGUUAGUGGAAGCGUCUGGAAAGGCGCGCGAUACAGGGUGACAGCCCCGUACACAAAAGCGCAUGUGCUGUGAGCUCGAUGAGUAGGGCGGGACACGUGGUAUCCUGUCUGAAUAUGGGGGGACCAUCCUCCAAGGCUAAAUACUCCUGACUGACCGAUAGUGAACCAGUACCGUGAGGGAAAGGCGAAAAGAACCCCGGCGAGGGGAGUGAAAAAGAACCUGAAACCGUGUACGUACAAGCAGUGGGAGCACAGGUUUACCUGUGUGACUGCGUACCUUUUGUAUAAUGGGUCAGCGACUUAUAUUCUGUAGCAAGGUUAACCGAAUAGGGGAGCCGGAGGGAAACCGAGUCUUAAUUGGGCGUUAAGUUGCAGGGUAUAGACCCGAAACCCGGUGAUCUAGCCAUGGGCAGGUUGAAGGUUGGGUAACACUAACUGGAGGACCGAACCGACUAAUGUUGAAAAAUUAGCGGAUGACCUGUGGCUGGGGGUGAAAGGCCAAUCAAACCGGGAGAUAGCUGGUUCUCCCCGAAAGCUAUUUAGGUAGCGCCUCGUGAAUUCAUCUCCGGGGGUAGAGCACUGUUUCGGCUAGGGGGCCAUCCCGGCUUACCAACCCGAUGCAAACUGCGAAUACCGGAGAAUGUUAUCACGGGAGACACACGGCGGGUGCUAACGUCCGUCGUGAAGAGGGAAACAACCCAGACCGCCAGCUAAGGUCCCAAAGUCAUGGUUAAGUGGGAAACGAUGUGGGAAGGCCCAGACAGCCAGGAUGUUGGCUUAGAAGCAGCCAUCAUUUAAAGAAAGCGUAAUAGCUCACUGGUCGAGUCGGCCUGCGCGGAAGAUGUAACGGGGCUAAACCAUGCACCGAAGCUGCGGCAGCGAACGUAUCACUUAAAGCGAUUCAGCGGGUUACGAUUGACGGAGCGAAGCGACGUCAAAGCGUAUACAAAGUCGAGUCGGUUUAAGGAUACGUUCGUUGGGUAGGGGAGCGUUCUGUAAGCCUGUGAAGGUGGCCUGUGAGGG